GGAAACCUAGAGUGCGGCAGCUGCAUCUGUGGUGUUGGAGAGGAGUGGAACGGAGCAGGUUGCCAAGUGUGUCCUGAAGGGAAGUUUAAGUCCUCGAUAACUGGUAAAUGCCAAAACUGGACACAGUGUCCAGCUAAUCAGAUCUCAAUUCCUGGGACGGCGAAAACUGAUGUGGUUUGCAACACGACAACAGAAGGCCCUACACAACUCCCGACUUGGACAGUUUUAACUAAGGAGGCAG